rnacentral:rRNA from 1 species
AGCCAGGAUGUUGGCUUAGAAGCAGCCAUCAUUUAAAGAAAGCGUAAUAGCUCACUGGUCGAGUCGGCCUGCGCGGAAGAUGUAACGGGGCUAAACCAUGCACCGAAGCUGCGGCAGCGACGCUUAUGCGUUGUUGGGUAGGGGAGCGUUCUGUAAGCCUGCGAAGGUGUGCUGUGAGGCAUGCUGGAGGUAUCAGAAGUGCGAAUGCUGACAUAAGUAACGAUAAAGCGGGUGAAAAGCCCGCUCGCCGGAAGACCAAGGGUUCCUGUCCAACGUUAAUCGGGGCAGGGUGAGUCGACCCCUAAGGCGAGGCCGAAAGGCGUAGUCGAUGGGAAACAGGUUAAUAUUCCUGUACUUGGUGUUACUGCGAAGGGGGGACGGAGAAGGCUAUGUUGGCCGGGCGACGGUUGUCCCGGUUUAAGCGUGUAGGCUGGUUUUCCAGGCAAAUCCGGAAAAUCAAGGCUGAGGCGUGAUGACGAGGCACUACGGUGCUGAAGCAACAAAUGCCCUGCUUCCAGGAAAAGCCUCUAAGCAUCAGGUAACAUCAAAUCGUACCCCAAACCGACACAGGUGGUCAGGUAGAGAAUACCAAGGCGCUUGAGAGAACUCGGGUGAAGGAACUAGGCAAAAUGGUGCCGUAACUUCGGGAGAAGGCACGCUGAUAUGUAGGUGAAGUCCCUCGCGGAUGGAGCUGAAAUCAGUCGAAGAUACCAGCUGGCUGCAACUGUUUAUUAAAAACACAGCACUGUGCAAACACGAAAGUGGACGUAUACGGUGUGACGCCUGCCCGGUGCCGGAAGGUUAAUUGAUGGGGUUAGCGCAAGCGAAGCUCUUGAUCGAAGCCCCGGUAAACGGCGGCCGUAACUAUAACGGUCCUAAGGUAGCGAAAUUCCUUGUCGGGUAAGUUCCGACCUGCACGAAUGGCGUAAUGAUGGCCAGGCUGUCUCCACCCGAGACUCAGUGAAAUUGAACUCGCUGUGAAGAUGCAGUGUACCCGCGGCAAGACGGAAAGACCCCGUGAACCUUUACUAUAGCUUGACACUGAACAUUGAGCCUUGAUGUGUAGGAUAGGUGGGAGGCUUUGAAGUGUGGACGCCAGUCUGCAUGGAGCCGACCUUGAAAUACCACCCUUUAAUGUUUGAUGUUCUAACGUUGACCCGUAAUCCGGGUUGCGGACAGUGUCUGGUGGGUAGUUUGACUGGGGCGGUCUCCUCCUAAAGAGUAACGGAGGAGCACGAAGGUUGGCUAAUCCUGGUCGGACAUCAGGAGGUUAGUGCAAUGGCAUAAGCCAGCUUGACUGCGAGCGUGACGGCGCGAGCAGGUGCGAAAGCAGGUCAUAGUGAUCCGGUGGUUCUGAAUGGAAGGGCCAUCGCUCAACGGAUAAAAGGUACUCCGGGGAUAACAGGCUGAUACCGCCCAAGAGUUCAUAUCGACGGCGGUGUUUGGCACCUCGAUGUCGGCUCAUCACAUCCUGGGGCUGAAGUAGGUCCCAAGGGUAUGGCUGUUCGCCAUUUAAAGUGGUACGCGAGCUGGGUUUAGAACGUCGUGAGACAGUUCGGUCCCUAUCUGCCGUGGGCGCUGGAGAACUGAGGGGGGCUGCUCCUAGUACGAGAGGACCGGAGUGGACGCAUCACUGGUGUUCGGGUUGUCAUGCCAAUGGCACUGCCCGGUAGCUAAAUGCGGAAGAGAUAAGUGCUGAAAGCAUCUAAGCACGAAACUU